rnacentral:lncRNA from 8 species
AUGGAGUCAAGCACGGAGCUUGAUGCGAGAUUCCGGAAGGAGGUACUGGCGGAGAGGGCACGACUGAGCAGAAAUGCAGAGGGGCGAGCGAUGCAUUACGGGGUGAUGCGCACUAUCUCGCCCAUCCGCACGCACAGUCCGGUGCGGUCGGUACGGGCUCCGCAGCGUUGCCGUGCUACAGUUGGCACUCAGCCAGGAAGGAGUGUGCCUGCUCAGCACAUCUGGCCGCCAGUGCGUCUCCUCGGUCCAGUUUAUCCUGCGCCUGCUCUACGCACGGCAGCCCUCAUUCCCCAGCACAGCCCAGUUCGCCCUGUGCCAGCGCUCCGCCUGUGCCGGGCUACAGUGACCAUCCAGCCAGGAUGGAGUGUGCCAGCCCUGAGCUCCAGACCUCCGGUGCGCCUCUACGGCCCAGUGUGCCUCGUGCCUGCUCUGCGCACCCAGUCUCCUGUAAGUCUCCCCAGUCCGGGGAGACCGGUCCCAGCUCCAUGCAGGAGGCCUCCAUUGACGCUCCUCAGCCCGGAGCCUCCAGUGACACUCCUCAGCCCGGAGCCUCCAGUGACGCUCCUCAACCCGGAGCCUCCAGUGACGCUCCUCAACCCGGAGCCUCCAGCGACGUUCCGCAACCCGGAGCCUCCAACGACGCUCCGCAACCCGGAGCCUUCAGCGGUGGUCUGCAACCCGGAGCCUUCAGCGGUGGUCUGCAACCCGGAGCCUUCAGCGGUGGUCUGCAACCCGGAGCCUUCAGCGGUGGUCUGCAACCCGGAGCCUUCAGCGGUGGUCUGUAACCCAGAGCCUUCAGCGGUGGUCUGCAGCCAAGAGCCUUCAGCGGUGGUCUGCAGCCCAGAGUCUUCAGCAACGGUCUACAGCCCAGAGCCUCCAGCGGGGGUCGGCAGCGCAGAACAGAACAGGCGAAGGGGGGGUUUAGCACAGGAACCGUCGUUGACGGUGGCCACCCUCCCUUCCCUCCCUUUAGGUUUGGGGUUGUUUUUGUGGGGUUUUUUGUUUUGA